AUAGUAGUAAGUCAAUUGGUAACGACUCCCUAUUAAGAUUAGGAGAAUGUGUGGUUCAAAUCCCUCCUACUAUU
rnacentral:tRNA from 1 species